rnacentral:tRNA from 1 species
GAGGGUGUAGCUCAAGUGGUAGAGCACAUGCUUAGCAUACAUGAGGUCCUGGGUUCGGUCCCCAGUACUGCCU